rnacentral:rRNA from 1 species
AUUGAACGCUGGCGGCAGGCCUAACACAUGCAAGUCGAGCGGCAGCGCGGGGCAACCUGGCGGCGAGCGGCGGACGGGUGAGGAAUGCAUCGGAAUCUACCCUGUCGUGGGGGAUAACGUAGGGAAACUUACGCUAAUACCGCAUACGACCGAGAGGUGAAAGUGGGGGACCGCAAGGCCUCACGCGAUUGGAUGAGCCGGUGCCGGAUUAGCUAGUUGGUAGGGUAAAGGCCUACCAAGGCAACGAUCCGUAGCUGGUCUGAGAGGAUGAUCAGCCACACUGGGACUGAGACACGGCCCAGACUCCUACGGGAGGCAGCAGUGGGGAAUAUUGGACAAUGGGCGCAAGCCUGAUCCAGCCAUGCCGCGUGUGUGAAGAAGGCCUUCGGGUUGUAAAGCACUUUUGUUCGGGAAGAAAUCGUGCGGAUUAAUACUUCGUACGGAUGACGGUACCGAAAGAAUAAGCACCGGCUAACUUCGUGCCAGCCGCCG